AACGAACGCUGGCGGCGUGGAUAAGACAUGCAAGUCGAACGGGACAGACCGAGUAGCAAUAUUUGGAAUGUUCAGUGGCGAACGGGUGCGUAACACGUGGAUAACAUUCCGGAAAGCGGGGAAUAGCCCAGGGAAACUUGGAUUAAUACCGCAUGUGGCCGCAAGGCUAAAGACGGGGACCGCAAGGCCUGUCACUUUCCGAUUGGUCCGCGGCCUAUCAGCUAGUUGGCGGGGUAAUGGCCCACCAAGGCUACGACGGGUAGCUGGUCUUAGAGGAAGACCAGCCACACUGGAACUGAGACACGGUCCAGACACCUUCGGGUGGCAGCAGUCGAGAAUCUUUCACAAUGGGGGCAACCCUGAUGGAGCGACGCCGCGUGGAGGAUAAGGUCUUCGGAUUGUAAACUCCUGUCAUGCGAGAGCAAGGUACUCAGGCUAAUAACCUGAUUGUUUGAUGGUACCGCAAGAGGAAGAGACGGCUAACUCUGUGCCGGCCGCCGCGGUAACAC
rnacentral:rRNA from 1 species